AUGAAAUCCCUUUUGCAGACGACAGUGACGAAGAACCAGUUCAAGAAAAGUUUUACACCCCAGCCACCAGUAAGAAGAAGGAGGCAUUUAAAGUGGAGGGAGUUGGGAAGGAGGUCAAAAAGAGGCUACUUCCUUUGCUUCCACAAGAGACUGUGCAGAAGAUGCCCAGUGCAGAUAUCAUCAGAGAGAUGAAGAAAGUGGAGAUGGAGAGUGCGCGGGAGAAAGCCAGACAGAGAGCCAGGCUGAAGAGUGACGAGGAGCUCGGAAUCAGAAGUGUGGAGUAUACACCCAAAGUGAAGGGACUGUUAAAGCGCAGCACCUCCAAUACACCGAGUACCAGUGAUUUUAUAUCGGACAGUGAUGAUCCCAGCAAGGUGCUUCACUCAACGCCUGUGGAUAAAACAGAGGUUCCAAAACCGCAUAUCAAGUCCAGUGGGAAGACCAAGAAGAGUAAGAAAAAGACGAUGGACUUGGACCUGACUCUGUCUGAGCGGUCGGAUGGUGAUACCAGCAAGGAGAAGGCCAAGAAGAAGAGGUCACUGCUACAGAUUCUGAAACCUGGGAAAGACAAGUCACCCAAAGAGCUGAAGGACAAGAGGUCCUCCUCUAAUGACACUCUGGAGGAGAAGUCGCCAAAGAAGAAAAAGAAGACUCCAAAGUCUGACAAGAAGAAGAAAAAGACGAUGCCUGAUUCAGCGCUUGAACACCUGGACAAGGAUCUGAGUGAGCUGAAUCUGGUGGGAAUCAAGGAGAGGUUCAGCAGCGAGAAGAGACCAACCCCCCACAGGAGGCACGCUGUACGCAAAACCCUUCCCCCCAAGGCUGAGUUGGAUGAGUUCUCUGACUCUGACGACAGUAAGAUGGAAACUUUGAAGAGAUCUAAGGAUCGUCGUACAAUGUCAGAGGAUGAGUUAAAUUACCGCAUUGCUCGGCGUGUGCAGUCGGCAGCCAGAAAACACAUGAAGCAGCAGGAACAGAAACGCCUGCGCAAGGCGCAGGAAAUCCAGCGACAACUGGAGGAAGUGGACGUCAAACAGAAAGAGCUGGAGGAGAGGGGGGUCAUUGUGGAGCGUGCCCUCAGAGGGGAGGGGCCAGAUGCUGGGCGGGAAGAAGCAGAGUUGAUGCAGGAAUGGUUUACUCUUGUGUACGAGAAAAACGCUCUUGUCAGAUACGAGUCGGAACUCAUGGUCAAUGCCCAAUACAUGGAGCUUGAAGACAGACAUGGCCGACUUGAACAAGAGUUGCGAGAGAAGAUGUCAAUAGACAAGAGCGAGAAGAAGACCGAGACUUAGAAGCCAUCAUGAACGCCAAAGGUUACAGCCUGGCUCCCACUGACUAUGCUCAGAAAAUCAAGCUGUCCUCUCAAAACUUCCCCCUUUCAUGCUAGUCAACAGAGAUACAGACAAAGUCUUCAUUCAUUUCUAGCAAAGCUAAUGUGUCCCACCAGAUGAGUUAUUAGUUAUUGGACCCAUGACCUGGGAUUUCGUAAUCUCUGAUUGGUUGUUUACCUGUCACAUAGUUUCAGUUUAACAGGUUUGGACUCUUACUUUUUGAUGUUGAACAUCCACUUGUUCUUGGUGAACAAAUCAGUGGGUAUCUAUACAAGCAAUGUUGUUCAUAUAUCCGUGUCCUCCAGGAGGGCUCUUGGUGUAUACGUUGUGGUCUAUUUGACUAUUUAUGUGUAUCUGUCAUGACAGGGUCACAGCAAAGAUAGCUUGUUGUGAUGAAUAGUCAAUCAUUUCAGCACACAACUUGCUUUGGAAAAGCAGCACUAAUUUCCUUAAGACUUUAUCUUUGUACAUAUAUCUGUAUUACAUAGACUAGUUGUGUAUCUUCAGAAAAAAUAAUUUUUCCAAGUCAAGAAUAAUCUAAGAAAACAACUUCCACUUAACACUGAAUGUGCCAUUUGAAUUAUAGUCCAUUUUCAAAAGUUCACAGAUCUAUAUAUAAAGCUAUGGUUGGACUAUAUAUAUAUACAUGUAUGCUAGUGUGACUUUUUCUUGUUAAUUAAUUUUUUAUUUGAUAGGUAUGUGUGUAAUGUUAUUGUAUAAUGUUACUGUAGCACAACAAACUGCUGCUAUAUCAAGGCAUACGCAUUCUCUAGUGAACUGUUACAAUUCAGGGGAGUGGUCUGUAGUUAUACAUUGUGUAAAAUAAAACUUUUUCUGUCAAUGCAAAUUUUGUGAUUGGUGUAAGUUAUAUGAAAAUAUUUGAUUAUUUGACUAUUUAUUUAUGGUUUUAAAUUAUUGGUAUGUGUUUAGUUGUAUAUUAAACUUUAGCAAAAGUUGAUAAUUUAUAUUUUUACAUUUGAUGAUGUCUGUAUGAAGCCAAUACAUGUAGCAAACUGCUCUGAUUAAGGCCUUGUAAGAACAAUCAAACUUUUAUA
rnacentral:misc_RNA from 1 species